AAAACAAAAGCACGACUUAUCAUUAUCAUUGCGGUUUUUUAUUUUCUGUCAUUCUUCUCUUUAAGAUAAGAUUUGACACCAAAAAACGUCAUUAGAAAAAUUGGACUUUUCACAUGAACAGAUCCUUAAAGUAAACUAUACUUAUUCAAAAAAUGUAGUAUGCAAUUAAUGGAAAUAACAUCAUGUUUAUAAAUAUCACAAGAAAUAUACAUGUGACAUACAUAUUUACACCAAACUGUUUAGUCUGUAGAAGGCACGUGCAUGUAUCAUUCCGUCAGGGUAACAAAUGGUACUGUACAAUAAAUCACAAUCUAACACGAUGAAAAAAACAGAAAAAAACCAGUUCAGCACACGACACUCCGCACAUGUGUGUAAAUGUCGGUAUCAAAGGGGGUCGUCUCAAAGGCUACUUUCAUAAAGACAACUGUAUCGCGGAUACAUGCACAGGAAUAGAAACGUAUUGGGUCAUGUAAGAUGCAUUGAUAUGCAAAUACAAAAAAAAAAGUAUCAUGAGUUUGCGUGUCUAGCAGUUUACAAAAGCCAGCCUCAAUAUCACAUACUUCCGCUUCACAUUAACAUAACAGCGAUUCAAAAGUGUUCGAGUGAUUUUGUAGGUCGGACAAAUAUGUAGGUCAUUUAGACACAUAAUCAUAUGAUGUAACAUUGUAUACGUAGCGUGUUGAUAAAGAGUAACUUAAUUGUACCCAAACAGAAUGUCGGAGUUUACGAUCAGACGAGCAGCAGAGGAGGACACAGAAGAAAUCUAUCGAAUGUGUGUUGAACUAGCCAAGUUUUCAGAUGACGUCGUGACAACAACACCCGAAUCUUUGAGGCGUGACCGAAAGUUCUACGAAAGCUUUGUAGUGGAGGCAUCACCAAAUACAGGUAAAUAUCCCCUUAACCAAU